rnacentral:rRNA from 1 species
GACUAACGCUGGCGGCGUGCCUAACACAUGCAAGUCGAACGAACGUAGCAAUACGUUAGUGGCAGACGGGUGAGUAACGCGUGGUCAAUCUACCUCAUAGUGGGGGAUAACUAGCCGAAAGGUUAGCUAAUACCGCAUACGAUCGUCGAGUGGCAUCACUUGACGAUGAAAGGAGCAAUCCGCUAAGAGACGGGACUGCGUCCCAUUAGUUAGUUGGUGGGGUAAUGGCCUACCAAGACUCCGAUGGGUAGCUGGCUUGAGAGAGCGACCAGCCACACUGGAACUGAGACACGGGUCCAGACUCCUACGGGAGGCAGCAGUGAGGAAUUUUCCGCAAUGGGCGAAGCCUGACGGAGCGACGCCGCGUGUGGGAAG